CCUACGGGUGGCAGCAGUGGGGAAUAUUGCACAAUGGGCGAAAGCCUGAAGCAGCAAAGCCGCGUGAGCGAAGAAGGCCUUCGGGUCGUAAAGCUCUGUCCUCAAGGGAGAUAAUGACGGUACGUGAGGAGGAAGCCGCGGCUAACUACGUGCCAGUAGCCGCGGUAAUACGUAGGGGGCUAGCGUUAUCCGGAUUUACUGGGCGUAAAGGGUGCGUAGGUGGGUUCUUAAGUCAGAGGUAAAAGGCUACGGCUCAACCGUAGUAAGCCUUUGAAACUGGGGAACUUGAGUGCAGGAGAGGAGAGUGGAAUUCGUAGUGUAGCGGUGAAAUGCGUAGAUAUUAGGCGGAACACCAGUUGCGAAGGCGGCUCUCUGGACUUUAACUGACGCUGAGGCACGAAAGCGUGGGGAGCAAACAGGAUUAGAUACCCUGGUAGUC
rnacentral:rRNA from 1 species